UGUUAACAGUAUAGAUAAUAGAUGGUUAGAUACAUUGACAUGUGUCAAGAGAUGUGGUUGUUAUAAUAUCAGUAUGGUUGUUAUAAGUAGGAUAAGGUGUCUUAGUGAAGAAGUAAUAUAGAUAACUAUAUAACAAUUGUAAGUAGAGUAAUUCAGUAACUUUGCAGUACAGAAAUAUAAUUCAUUUCUCUCUCUCUCUCUCUAUCUUUCUAUCUCUAAAACCUCUUCAUCUUCUCUGUGAUAUUACAUUACUGCAACUUAAUAUGUUGCUUAACAUGGUAUCAUUCGCCGAUCAAGCUCUACGUGCUUGAAAGGUUUUUUUUCUGAUCUUGGAAUCGUUGAUUUUUGCUUCCGCCGCUCAAGAUUCUUUCUUUCUCUGUUGUGUUCUUCUGAUCUGGGAAUUUUCAUAGUUCUUUGGGUUGUGAUUCUUCGUCUGCGCAAUCGUGCCCUCUACGUGUUCGAUACAUUUCCUGUGAGAACUCUUCUUCGACAAUUUUGCAAUGGUGACUGCCAAUCAACUACAAAUUGUGCAAUCGCCUAUCACAUCUCUUAUCUCCACCGUUCCUACGUCGGUGACUGUGAAGCUUGAUGAUUCCAACUACCUCACAUGGCACUUUCAGAUGCAACUCCUACUUGAAGGUCAUGGAAUUAUGGGGUUCUUGGAUGGUUCUAGUCCUUGUCCUGCACAGUUUGGCUCUUCUGGAUCUGGCGAUUCUGAUUUAGAUUCUGGAGAUUCCUCGUCCCGAAUUGAAACAGAUGCAUACAAGAUCUGGAAGAUGCAUGAUCGAGCUUUGAUGCAGCUUAUUACUGUCACCCUUUCUCCAUCCGCUAUUUCAUGUGUCAUUGGAAGCACCAGUGCUCGGGAUCUAUGGAUUCGUCUCAAUGAGCAAUUUUCUAUUGUUACUCGUGCAACCAUAUUCCAGAUGAAGUCUGAGUUACAGAAUAUCAAGAAAGGCCCUGAUUCUAUAUCUCAAUUCUUACAGAGGAUCAAGGCUGCUCGUGAUUAUUUGGCAGCUGCCGGAGUCCAUUUCGAGGAUGAUGAUAUUGUCAUUCUCACUCUUAAUGGCUUAUCGGGAGAAUAUAAUACCAUCCGCUCUAUCAUUCGAGGUCGAGAGAAUGUUAUUUCUCUUAAGGAUCUGAGGUCUCAGUUGCUUGCUGAAGAAGCAAUGAUUGAGAAUACAGCUGUUACGCCAUUUUUGUCUGCCAUGAUUGCCAAGAACUCUGAAUCUGGUGGUCAUAGUCAAGGGGUUUCUGCCAAUCCAAGUCCCGGGUAUUCACCACAUCAAUCUUCUGGUGUCCCACUUCAGCAACAUACAUAUUUCAAGAAUAAUUACAUCAAGAACAAGGGUCGAGGAAAAUUCAACUAUAAUACUAAUUCUCGAUUUGGGAAUUCACGAAAUACCUAUACAACUCCUGCUCCUGGUAUUCUUGGUGCCCCUCCAACCCAAUCAGCUUGCCAAAUAUGUGGAAAAUUUGGUCACCUUGCUGAUACCUGUCGGUUUCGAAAUACUGAUGUUGUUGUAGUUGAUGGCUGUCAAAUAUGUGGCAAGAAGAAUCACACUGCUCAGUUCUGUCAUUUUCGAAAUGCCAAUAUUUCUGGUUCUGCUUCUCAAAUGAUGGCAAUGCAUGUAAACUCUUCCUCAUCCACUCCACCAUCAAAUGAUUCAUCUCAGCAGUUCUGGAUUACAGAUUCAGGGGCAACAAAUCACCUCACUGCAGACUUACAGAAUCUUUCCUUGGCUACUCCAUUCUCAUCCACAGAGACCAUUCAAACUGCGAAUGGUGCAGGUUUACCAAUUUCACACACAUUGGUUCUUCUAUCAUUCAGACCCCUACUCAAAAUUUGAAGCUUAAUUCCAUUUUAUAUGUUCCCAAAAUUACUCAGAAUUUGUUGUCUGUGCACAGAAUUUGUCUAGAUAACCAUUGUUGGCUAAUCUUUGAUGCUUUUAAUUUCUGGAUUCAGGACAAAGCCACAUGGAGGAUUCUGUACAAGGGCCAAUGCAGUAAUGGGUUAUAUCCACUACCAAUGUCAAGACCAGCUGCAAUUCAGCAUCAAGCCUAUACAACUGCAUUUCUUGGACAGAAAGUACAUUCCAAUCUAUGGCAUAGCUGACUAGGUCACCCAUCCAAUUCCAUUUUGUUUACUAUUCUUAGAAAGUCCAAUAUCUCAGUCCCCUAUGAUGUCUCAUCUUCUGUGUGUCAUUCUUGUUUACAAGGAAAAUUCAGCAAGCUCCCAUUUUCAUCCUCUGUGUCUAAGGCUGUAAAUCCUUUUCAAAUAGUUCAUAGUGAUGUCUGGGGCCCUGCUCCUUGUACCUCUAUUGAUGGUUUUAAAUACUACGUGACAUUCAUUGAUGAGUGUACUCUCGAUAUUGUUGGCUUUUUCCUCUACAUAAUAAAAGUGAAGUCUGCUCUGUGUUCAUUGGUUUCUAUCAGUUCAUUUUUAAUCACUUUGCAGUUUCUGUUAAAACUUUACAAAGUGAUGGGGGUGGGGAAUAUACAAGUCACACUCUUCAAUCUUUUCUGUUAGAUAAAGGGAUCACUCAUCAAAUCUCUUGUCCCCAUACUCGAGAACAAAAUGGGCUGGCAGAACGCAAACAUAGGCAUGUAGUUGAAACCUCCAUCACAUUGUUACAGAAUGCACAUCUUCCAGCAUCUUUCUGGUCCUUUGCUUGUCAAACUGCGAUAUACCUUAUAAAUAGGAUGCCUUCUUCCACUACAAAUAAUCAGUCACCAUUUGAGGUUCUGUUCAAUUCAGUUCCAGAUGUUCAACACCUUAGAAUCUUUGGUUGUGCAUGUUUCCCAUUCUUAAAGCCUUAUACUAGUAACAAGCUGCAACCUAAAACCAAGUUAUGUAUCUUUCUGGGUUAUGCAUCUAAAUACAAGGGGUACAUCUGUUUUGAAGUUAGCUCAAAGAGAAUUUAUAUUUCACGACAUGUUAUAUUUGAUGAGUGUGAUUUCCCUUAUUCCUCUCUUGUCCAAAAGUCAUCUGUUUCUACUUCACAGUCUGUUCCUCAAAUACCAAUGAAUCCAGUGUCUAUUACACGGGAUAACCUGCUUGUUGGAGUGUCAUCUAAUUCAUCUGUGCCUAGCCUUAGUGUUAUACCUCGCACUGCUACUGCCACUCCUAGAUCUUCCAAUCCUUCUCCUGCACCUGAACUGUCUCAGCCAACAGCAACCGACGACAUCAGCUCCCCCAUUACUUGCAAUGUCCCUCAGUGUACUUCUCCUUCCAUUCCUGUGGCUCCUGAGUUUCUUCCAGAAAGUUUACAAGUCAUUCUUCCUCUACCUCCAUUUAACUUGCAUCCUAUGCAAACACGAUCGAAGAGUGGUAUUGUCAAGAAGAAAGCAUUUAGUGCUCUGACUUCUCCAACUACAGACGUUGACUUAUCUCAGAUUGAACCACUGUCUUAUAAAUCUGCUCUUAAAUCGCCAGUUUGGUAUAAAGCCAUGGAGGAGGAACUACAAGCCUUGCAUUCCCAGAAAACUUGGUCCUUAGUUCUUUUACCAUCAAACAGAAACCUUGUGGGGUGCAAGUGGGUGUUUAAGAUCAAGAGACAUGCUGAUGGUGCCAUUUCGAGAUACAAGGCUCGGCUUGUGGCCAAGGGGUUCAAUCAGGAGGCAGGAAUCGAUUAUGGUGAAACCUUCAGUCCUGUUGUUAAGCCUACUAUAGUACGUCUUGUUCUUGCCUUAGCUGCACAUUAUGGUUGGGGUUACGGCAGCUCGAUGUCAAAAAUGCUUUUUUGCAUGGUAUUUUGGAAGAAGAAGUGUAUAUGGCGCAGCCUCCGGGGUUUGUAGACCCUAUCUAUUCAUCCUCAGUGUGUAAACUUCACAAGUCUUUAUACGGUCUCAAACAAGCUCCCCGGGCAUGGAAUGAGAGAUUUACUAAGUUCUUGCCUUCCUUGGGAUUUCACACAACUUAUGCCGACACUUCAUUGUUUGUCAAACAUACUUCUUCUGGAAUAGUACUUCUUCUUCUCUAUGUGGAUGAUAUCAUCAUCACUGGCAGUGCCAUUUCUGUCAUUCCAGAGCUAAUUUCUGCGUUGGCUACAGAAUUUGAUAUCAAGGAUCUGGGACCACUCCAUUAUUUCCUUGGUGUUCAAAUCACAACCAAUACAGAAGGGUUGUUUCUGUCUCAGCAUAGAUAUGUCACCGAUUUAUUGACAAAGACAGAAAUGCAUCAGUCCAAGUCUUGUGCUACUCCUUGUCUGCCUUCUCAUCGUCUUCUUAAGGAUGAUGGCAUACCAUUUGACAAUCCUCAAUUGUACAGAAGUAUAGUGGGCGCCUUAACAGUAUCUAACUUUCACAAGACCUGAUAUUGCUUUUUUUCGGUCCAUCAGGUUGCUCAGUUCAUGCAGUGUCCCAUGGAGUCUCAUUACUUGGCUGUCAAAAGGAUAUUACGGUAUCUUAACGGCACUCAACAUUAUGGUCUUCAAUAUACCAAGGGCGACUUGGAGUUAAAUGCAUUUAGUGAUGCGGACUGGGCAGGGGAUCCGAAUGAUCGACGCUCUACAACAGGUUUGGUUGUUUUCUUGGGUUCUAAUCCCAUUUCGUGGUCAUCAAAGAAGCAGAACACUGUCUCUCGCUCUUCUACUGAAGCUGAGUAUCGUGCCAUUGCUACAACAGCAGCUGAGCUUGAUUGGAUAAGACAGAUUCUCACUUUUCUGCAGAUUACAGUUUCGACUCCAUCCAUUAUGUUUUGUGAUAACCUCUCGGCUAUUGCUCUGACUUGUAAUCCAGUGAUGCAUCAACGAACCAAACAUAUUGAGAUUGAUAUCCAUUUUGUUCGUGACAGGGUUGCCCAACAGUUACUUCAAAUGCAGUUUGUUUCCUCUAAUGAGCAAUUUGCUGAUAUUCUGACAAAGGGCCUAUCUGCACCACUUUUUCGUGCUCAUUGCUGCAAUCUCAGGCUUCGUGGUCCUUCUCCUGAGCUUGAGGGAGGAUGUUAACAGUAUAGAUAAUAGAUGGUUAGAUACAUUGACAUGUGUCAAGAGAUGUGGUUGUUAUAAUAUCAGUAUGGUUGUUAUAAGUAGGAUAAGGUGUCUUAGUGAAGAAGUAAUAUAGAUAACUAUAUAACAAUUGUAAGUAGAGUAAUUCAGUAACUUUGCAGUACAGAAAUAUAAUUCAUUUCUCUCUCUCUCUCUAUCUUUCUAUCUCUAAAACCUCUUCAUCUUCUCUGUGAUAUUACAUUACUGCAACUUAAUAUGUUGCUUAACAG
rnacentral:lncRNA from 1 species